GACGUAGGGCGCGAGCGUUGUCCGGAUUUAUUGGGCGUAAAGAGCUCGUAGGCGGCUUGUCGCGUCGUCCGUGAAAACUUGGGGCUCAACCCCAAGCUUGCGGUCGAUACGGGCAGGCUAGAGUUCGGUAGGGGAGACUGGAAUUCCUGGUGUAGCGGUGAAAUGCGCAGAUAUCAGGAGGAACACCGGUGGCGAAGGCGGGUCUCUGGACCGAUACUGACGCUGAGGCGCGAAAGCGUGGGGAGCAAACAGG
rnacentral:rRNA from 1 species